CAAUAGCGUAUAUUAAAGUUGUUGCAGUUAAAAAGCUCGUAGUUGGAUUUCGGGGCAGCCUGGCUGGUCCGCCGCAAGGCGAGUACUGGUCAGCCGCCCUUCCUCUCGAAAGCCCCGACUGCUCUUCGUUGCAGUGGUCGGGUAGUUCGGGACGUUUACUUUGAAAAAAUUAGAGUGUUCAAGGCAGGCCUACGCCUGAAUACAUUAGCAUGGAAUAAUGGAAGAGGACCUCGGUCCUAUUUUGUUGGUUUCCAGGGCCGAAGUAAUGAUUAAGAGGGACAGUUGGGGGCAUUUGUAUUUCGUCGCUAGAGGUGAAAUUCUUAGAUUGACGAAAGACAAACUGCUGCGAAAGCGUCUGCCAAGGAUGUUUUCAUUGA
rnacentral:rRNA from 1 species